UGGGGAGUGGUCAGCUGCUUGAUAUAUUUAUUUAUAACAACCUUAUUGAGAUAUAAUUAAUGUGAUGUAUAUUUACCCUUUUAAAGGAUAUAACUCAUUGGUUUUAGUAUAGUCACAGAGUUAGGCAACUAUCACUACUAUCUAAUUCCAGAAUAUUUUCAUCUCAAAAUGAAACUGUGUACCCAUUAGCAGUCACUCCCUAUCCUUUCCUUCCCCCAGGCCCUGGAAACUACUGAUCUACUACCUGUCUAUGGAUUUGCCCAUCCUGGAAUCACACAAUGUACGAUCUUUUGUGUCUGGCUUCUUUCACUUAGAAUAGUAUUUUUGAAGUUGAUUCCUGUUGUAGCAUGUCUCAGUACUUCAUUCCUUUUAUGGCUGAAUAAUAUUCCAUUGUAUGGACAUGCCACAUAUGGUUUAUCUGUUCAUCAGCUGAUGAACAUUUAGAUUGUUUAUACUUUUUGGCUGUUAUGAAUGAUGCUACUAUGAAUAUUUGUGUCAAGUUUUUGUGGGGAAAUAGGUUUUCAUUUCUCUUUAGUGUGUUCCUAGGAAUGGAAUCACAGGCCCAUAAAGUGAUUAAAUGAUUAACAGUUUGAAGAAAUAUUAACCUAUUUUCUAAAGCAGCUGUACCUAUUUUCUAAAGCAGCAAUCCCCCAACAAUGUAUGAGCAUUGCAAUUUCUCUGCAACUUUGAUAGCACUUGUUAUUAUCUAGUUUUUUAUUAUACCCAUCCUCGUGGGUGUGAAGUGGUAUCUCAUUGACAUAUUAAUUUGCAUUUUCUGCUGUUCUAUAUCUUUUCAUGUGCUUAUUGGUGGUUUUUAUGUCUUCUUGGGGAGAAAUGUCUAUUUGAACAGUUGUAGUUUUACAGAAAAGUGAGUGGAAAGUACAGAGAAUUGCCAUAUAUACACUCAUUCCAACCCCAUCUCUAGAGUUUCCAAUAUUACUGGUGCCUUGGUGUAGUACAUUUGUGACAAUCAAUAUACCAUUAUUUAUACAUUAUUAUUAACUAAAGUUUAGAGUUUGCCUUAUGGUUCACUCUUUGUGUUGUACAGUCUGUGGGUUUUGACAAUUGUAUAGGGACAUGUAUCUACUAUUAGAGUAUCAUACAAAAUACUGCACUAAAAAUUUCCUGAAUAACACCUACUCAUUUUUCCCUUCUUCAAGACACUUGAUAACUGUUGAUCUUUUUACUAUUUCCAUAGUUUUGCCUUUUCUUGGAAUCAUACAGUAUAUAGCCUUUUCAGAUUAGCUUUUUUUCUCAGCAAUAUGCAUUUAAGGUGCCUGCAUAACUUUGUGAUAUGAUAGCUCAUAUCUUUUUUUUUGAGUUGGAGCUUUGCUCUUGUGCCAAGGCUGGAGUGCAGUGGCACAAUCUUAGCUCACUGCAACUUCCGCCUCCCAGGUUCAAGCGAUUCUCCUGCCCCAGCCUCCCAAGUAUUUGAGAUUACAGGCGUGUACCACCACACCCAGCUAAUUUUUGUAUUUUUAGUAGAGACUGGGUUUCACCAUGUUGGCCAGGCUGGUCUCGAACUCCUGACCUCAGGUGAUCCACCUGCCUCGGCCUUCCAAAGUUCUGGGAUUACAGGCUUCAGCCACCGUGCCCAGCCGAUAGCUCAUUUCUUUCUAGUGCUGAAUAAUAUUUUAUUUAUGGAUAUAUCACAAUUUGUUCAUCCAUUUACCUGUUGCGGGACAUCUUGGUUUGGGUAGCUGAAGUUUAGACAAUUAUGAAUAAAGGUGCUGUAAACAUUCAUGUGCAGGUUUUUAUGUGGUCAUAUUUUCAGUCCAUUUGAGUAAAUACCAGGUAGUACAAUUGCUGUGGUAAGAGUAAGUUUAGUUUUGUAAACAAGUGCUAACCUGUCUUCUAAAGUGGCUGUGUAAAAUAAUUUCGUAUUCCCACCAGCAAUGAGUGAGUGUUCUUGUUGCUCCACAUCCUCACCGUCCUUUGGUGAUGUCAGUGUUUUGGAUUUUAGCCAUUCUAAUAGGUGUGUAGUAGUAGUAUGCCAGUGUAUUAAUUUGCAAUUCCCUGAUGACAUAUGAUGUUGAACAUCUUCUUAUAUGCUUUAUUUUCCCAUCUGUUUACCUCUUUUGAUGAGGUAUCUGUUCAGGUCUUGUCUUAGUCCAUUGAAGUAGCUAAAAUACCAUAAACAUGGGUGGGUUAUAAGUAACAGAAAUUUAUUUCUUAUGGUUAUGGAGACUAGGGAAGUGUAAGAUCACUGGCAGAUUCAGUGUCUGGUGAGGGCUUGUUUUCUGGUUCAUAGAUAGUGCCUUCUUGCUGUGUCCUUCCGUGGGGGCAUCUUUUAUAAGGGUAUUAAUCUCAGAGUCCUGGGGCUUCUGGGGCAUCUUUUAUAAGGGUAUUAAUCUCAGAGUCCUCAUAGCAUGAUCACCUCCCAACAGCCCUACCUCCUAAUACCAUCACAUUGAUGCUUAGGUUUCAGUGUAUGAGUUUGAUAGGCUAGUCUACUAACAUUCAGACCAUAGCAAGCCUUUUGUCCAAUUUUAAUUGAGUUGUUGGUUUUCUUAUUGUUGAGUUUUAAGAAUUCUUUGUAUGUUUUGGGUAACAGUCAUUUAUCAGAUACGUAUUUUGCAAAGACUUUUCCUAGAGUGUGUGACUUUUCAUUCAUGUCUUCCUCAGAGCAGACAUUUCUAAUUUUAACGAAGUUCAACUUACCAAAUUUUUUCUUUCAUGGAUGUGUUUUUUAUGUUGUAUUUUAAAAGUCACCACCAAACCCAAGGACACCUAGAUUUUUUUCCUGUUAUCUUCUAGGAGUUUAAUAGCUUUUCAUUUUACAGUUAAGUCUAUGAUCCAUUUCAAGUUAAUUUUUGUGAAAGGUAUAAGGUCUAUGCUUAGAUUCAUUUCUUUAAUUGUGUCUGUCCAGUUUUUCCAGCACUACAGUUAUUUCCCCUU
rnacentral:lncRNA from 1 species